rnacentral:SRP_RNA from 3 species
AGCCGGGUCCCGCGCAACGACCGGCCGCCAACUCCGUCAGGCCCGGAAGGGAGCAGCGGCAACGGCUUGGGCGUGUGCCGCGGGGGCGCCUGGCUGUC